rnacentral:tRNA from 1 species
UCCCUGAGGGUCCAGAGGCUCUGCACUUGCAAGGCAGGAGGCCCAGGUUCAAUCCCUGGUCUGGGAA